rnacentral:piRNA from 1 species
UAACAAUAAAUAAUGGCAGUCUUUCUGGAG